GUAAGAGAUGGGCUGGUUAGUUGCAUCCCUGCAGGACUGUAAAGUUCAGCAGGGCAAACAGACAAGAUCUUCAAGAUAAUCUGGGGCUACCUUUACUUUGAGGAACUAUUUUGGGAUUUGGUUUUAUCCGGAGAGUUUGAGGCACUGUGAGAAACUUCAUUUUAGCGUUUCUGUAGGUUACCCGGUACUUAUAGUAAUACUGCAUACAAAUUACUUUAUAAUGUACAUUCCAUUUAACAAUUUAACAUUGUGACAGCAAUGCCAUAUACAAUUAUCAUGUAUGCCAUUACUCCAUUAAGGCAACCCUAAAUGGGUAAUUAAAAAAGUGGAUUGGGCAGGCCAUACUCAGGCGGAACAGCGAGGCAUCACCAUUGGCCAUGGUCAGGGAGAGAAGGCGGGUCAAUAGCGGAGUUUCAGGAGGGCAUUGAUUUCCUGCGGUUAGGAGGCAGAGAGGAAGGAGAAGGGCUGGGGCAUGCCGAGCAGCCCCUGAGGAGAAAUGGAGGCCUAUCACUGUUUUGUUUUGACAUUAUAUACUGUAAUAAACUUGAAGCUCUGCCCAUCAUACUAUGCAGAUUGCAGUGUGUUCUCUUGCACUGUCUAAAGUACAAAAUAAAAAAGGGCAACUAGAGGUUUUACUUCUCUUGAACAAGGAGGCCGGCCUGUCGUUGGGCCUUGGCGCGUUUCCUCAUUCAUUCUUUGACCGCUAGAGGAAGCUUGCGCUCUCUCAAUUAUCAUUGGUCGUUGCGCCAAGGGCACUUCAGAGUUUUAGGUUGCAAUCAUGGGCUCAUAUGGCAGGCUCCACAAAAAAGACGUACUAAGGCCAUACUCAGGCGGAUCAGCGAGGCAUCACCAUUGGCCACGGGCAGGGAGAGAAGGGGGUCGAUAGCGGAGUUUGAGGGCGUUGAUUAGGAGGCGGAGAGGAAGGAGGGGGGCUGGGGCACGCCGAGCAGGCCCUGAGGAGAAAUGGAGGCCUAUCACAUCUUUCAGUGGUUGCUAAGUACUACACCCUCCAUUCCAUGAUUAUUGUUGAACUAAAACCAGGACAGUAAUUAUGGGACGGAGGUAGUAGUAUUUUGUUUUGACAUGAUGUUGUAAUAAACUUGUUGCUUUGUGCAUCAUAGAACGCAGGUUGCAGAUUGUUCUCUUCCACUGUCUGAAGUACAUUACAUACAGCACAAAAUAAAAAAAGGGCAACUAGAGGUUGUACUUCUCUUCAACAAGGCCGGCCCGUGGUUGGGCCUCGGCCCGUUCCUCAUUCAUUCUCGGGGCG